rnacentral:rRNA from 1 species
CUUGUAGGCGGUUGGUCGCGUCCGCCGUGAAAUCCUCUGGCUUAACUGGGGGCGUGCGGUGGGUACGGGCUGACUUGAGUGCGGUAGGGGAGACUGGAACUCCUGGUGUAGCGAUGGAAUGCGCAGAUAUCAGGAAGAACACCGGUGGCGAAGGCGGGUCUCUGGGCCGUUACUGACGCUGAGGAGCGAAAGCGUGGGGAGCGAACA